UACGUAGGGGGCAAGCGUUGUCCGGAUUUAUUGGGCGUAAAGAGCGUGUAGGCGGCCAUGUAGGUCCGUUGUGAAAACUCGAGGCUCAACCUCGAGACGCCGAUGGAAACCAUGUGGCUAGAGUACGGAAGAGGCGAGUGGAAUUCCCGGUGUAGCGGUGAAAUGCGCAGAUAUCGGGAGGAACACCAAUUGCGAAGGCAGCUCGCUGGGACGUCACUGACGCUGAGACGCGAAAGCGUGGGGAGCAAACAGG
rnacentral:rRNA from 1 species